UACGUAGGGUGCAAGCGUUGUCCGGAAUUAUUGGGCGUAAAGAGCUCGUAGGCGGUUUGUCGCGUCUGCUGUGAAAUCUGGGGGCUCAACCCCCAGCCUGCAGUGGGUACGGGCAGACUAGAGUGCGGUAGGGGAGAUUGGAAUUCCUGGUGUAGCGGUGGAAUGCGCAGAUAUCAGGAGGAACACCAAUGGCGAAGGCAGAUCUCUGGGCCGUAACUGACGCUGAGGAGCGAAAGCAUGGGGAGCGAACAGG
rnacentral:rRNA from 1 species